rnacentral:rRNA from 1 species
GACGAACGCUGGCGGCGUGCUUAACACAUGCCAGUCGAACGGAAAGGCCCUGCUUUUGUGGGGUGCUCGAGUGGCGAACGGGUGAGUAACACGUGAGUAACCUGCCCUUGACUUUGGGAUAACUUCAGGAAACUGGGGCUAAUACCGGAUAGGAGCUCCUGCUGCAUGGUGGGGGUUGGAAAGUUUCGGCGGUUGGGGGUGGACUCGCGGCUUAUCAGCUUGUUGGUGGGGUAGUGGCUUACCAAGGCUUUGACGGGUAGCCGGCCUGAGAGGGUGACCGGCCACGUUGGGACUGAGAUACGGCCCAGACUCCUACGGGAGGCAGCAGUGGGGAAUAUUGCACAAUGGGCGGAAGCCUGAUGCAGCAACGCCGCGUGCGGGAUGACGGCCUUCGGGUUGUAAACCGCUUUCGCCUGUGACGAAGCGUGAGUGACGGUAAUGGGUAAAGAAGCACCGGCUAACUACGUG